AAUUCGCUCAGAGGCCCAAAGGCUUCAAAAGCCCACGGCUCGUCUCGUUACGUCGAUGCCCUCCGCCGACAGCGCCGGCGGCCAGGCCGGCCGCCGCCCACAUCCGGCGGCGUUGAGGACAGCGCCUACCUACCUUCUUCGCCUCGCCCCUCGUCAAGGAUCCGCCCUCACUGCUACUGCAGACAAUAGGGGACCUCAAAAUUCGGAGCAUCUUAUGCGCCUCUUUCUACUUCCAUUUCAAGUUCCUCAGAGAAAUUUAUGAUUCUCGUAGGGCUGUCUUAUGGAUACUAGGGAGUACUCGAGAGUCGAACUCAAGUUGCUCUGAGCCUGGGCAUAUUGUUGAGGAGUGCCUUAGGUGACAAAGCCACUACUUCCACAUCAGGAUCUGCAAGAUGGAUAUCAUGAACCAAUGUUCGAUUGUCACAGGUAUGAAAGUAUCACCUUUGCUUGACCCUGCUGCGCAAGCUUGUAGCUUCGCUUGCUGCUGGAAAUUAUUCAGGGAUUCUUCCUCCGACGUGUGUGACAUUGUUUGGAAGUCUUGAUACUGGUUCCAGAGAGUGCCAGCAAAGUGAGGGGCGGAUGGUGAUUUAUGCAGAAUGGAACCAAGGGGCUGCAAUUAGGCAAUAGGAAAAUGGUUUAUAACCUUUCAGUCAGCAUCAAGGACUGCAAAUCUGCCACUAUUAUUUAAACCAUGGAAUGCGAAUCUGAUUUCCUCAUCAGCACGAAUGUUCCGUUUAUUGUUUCUAAAGAAAUUGUCAGUAUCCUCAAGUUUGAUAAGCAAAUUUUCACAUGAAAGGAGAACUAGUCUUGAGCUAUAUGUUGCUGUUUCCUCAUCUCGUUGCCCUCCAAUACUGUUAUGCUCGGUAUGGCACUAUUUUGACAGAAAGAUCACUUGGAAGAUCACAAAGAUUGAUGUGAUUGUAUAGUGCAGACAGUAAUUUCUGCUGUUGAUUUUUUACUGAGUAGAAAUCUGUAUGCCUCGCAAUUAUCGACAAUAGAGUCUCUAAUGUAUGUCAUGUUUCACCCAGGGGAUUAAGUUAGCUUGUCAGUGUCAAGGUCGAUUGUUUAGGUGGUAAAUUGAUAAUGUUUUUUUCUUGAGGCAAUGUCGCAAUCAGAUGGAGGAAUAUAAUCGAAGCAAUCGGUGUGAAGGGCAGGCAGGAGACGGUUUUGUCGGUACAAGGGGGGAUGACAACGUUAUUUGGAGCUUCCUGCGCUGCAUGGAGCCUGGUGGUUUGAAGAGUUCUACGUCAUGUCUUCCAAUGCAGAAGCUGGGAUCAGAAGAGGCUAUGUCAAAUGAACGUUCACCGAUUUGGCGCCUAGUUAUCAUGGUGAAUAGCAAGGUUGAAGUUCUAUGACCUCAAUUUAUGGGUUAUUCGGUGAUAUUUUCAGAUUCGCGACCUCUCCGUUACCUACGCCUUUCUGAUACUGUUCCGGUGAGAGCUCAUCUUAUUCUCAAAAGCAUAGAUCACGCUUCUGUGAAAAAAUCACCGAUAAAGAGAGAUCGGAGACCUUGAGGAGAGCAUCAUUUGUUGUAUACAAGAUUGUUGUUUUCCACAUGUAACUCUGUUCAAUUCAGUUGAGCACUGCCACUGUGCAUUAACCAAUGCUUGAUACACCUUGGAAUUGUACAGAACAAAUCGUCAGGAGGAAGUGUGCUGGAUCUGGACCUGCAGCAAGCUGUGCUUUAUUUCUUUCUUUCUUUUAUCGCUGUUUGCUGAUAGAGAAGGGAGGGCCUGGUUCGUUCGGUGACACCAAAUACAGCACAAACAAAGCGCCAAAGCCGUUAUACGGACUUCCCUAUGCUGGC